rnacentral:rRNA from 1 species
UACAGAGGUCCCAAGCGUUGUUCGGAUUCACUGGGCGUAAAGGGUGCGUAGGUGGUGAGGUAAGUCGGAUGUGAAAUCUCCGAGCUCAACUCGGAAACUGCAUUGGAAACUACCUUGCUCGAGGGUUGGAGGGGGGACUGGAAUUCCUGGUGUAGCAGUGAAAUGCGUAGAUAUCAGGAGGAAUACCGAUGGCGAAGGCAGGUCUCUGGGCUGACACUGACGCUCAUGCACGAAAGCGUGGGGAGCAAACAGG